CUUGAGCAGCCUGUACCAUACCAGUGCAAUACAGAUCCAUCACCAGGUAUUGUUUUAUUCUACUUAUUCCAUCUUUGUUUUUCCCUGUACUUACAACAAUGAAGUUUGCAUCCUGAAUGCAGUUCUUCACUUAGAAUACGGCAAAUGUUGUCCUGAAAACUGGUAUCACUAAGGUGGAGAUGGAUGUCACACAAUGCCUCUGAGACCAGUUGGCUCACAGUGUUUCCUAAGUAGCUAUGAGGCAUCUCCUGUUCUAGUCGUGUUCAAUUCCCACUUUCCCAUCCCUAAAGAUCUUUCUGCUUCCUUUCUCAUUAUCUAGAAGCUUUGUUUUUGCCUCUGCUGCUUUCUUUCUUCCUUUAGCCUUCUGAUGUUAAUUUCUUCCUCCCCACAGCUAGACCCAACCUGGGGAUUUUGCAUGGGUUUUUCCUGGGUGUUCUGCAUACAUACUGAGAAAGCUGUGGAGAAGAGAGAGGAACAUUCAUUCAGUGCUAUGAAGGUUUUACUUGGUGCAAUGGAAAAUAUAAAAAUAAAUAAAUAAAUAAACCUUCCAAUAUACGUGGAAAAAUGCAAGUAGAGCUAAAGCUUGCUAGAGUGCACCAAAAGCACUGCCCCAUAUAAAUUAAAGAUGCUUUGCCAGAGCCAAUAACUUUUAUAGAUUUUUCUUUACCUGUAAUGAAGGAAAAACAUAAAUGACUAUCAUAAAAGUAAACAUUAGAAAUAGAAAAUCCCUUUUACAGCAUUCAGUCCAUCUUUCUGCUAAUAACAACUUGUUCCCUAUAGUAUAUUUUUCCAGUGAUUCCUCUAGUCUAGUGUUAAACAUUUCUAGUGUUUCUAAGGCCUUGCUGCUCCCUUGAGAGGCAGUCUGAAAGCCUUGUGCAUUUCAAUGUCAGGAAGUUUUUCUCAGCAACUUCAAUUUUCUCUGUCUGUAUUUCUUCCUGUUAGUGUUAGGAUGUCUCUAUAAUUAGUUCUGUUCAUUUGAAUUUUUUUACUGAUGCUCUUUAGAAGGUAUAUGCAUUGCAAUUCUGUAUCACUGUUUCACAGCUACAAAGCAAGAUUUCCAACUGUGCUUUUUUUUCUUAAAUUGUUAUUGAAUUAAUUUAAUUCAUAGGUAGCAUUUCCUUAUUAUUUGCAUCCUAUUUAUAGCAAGAAAACUUAUGGUAUCACCAGGCUUAACACCACUGCUCUUUUAUUUUGAUGGGUAACCAAAUUGCAACACCCUGACAUCUGCUAUUUUUGAUAAAGGGCCAAUGCUGGUUUCAGAAACAGAAGUGCUUUCAAAGAGAAAAAAUGCAGACAGAGAUCAAAUAAUGGAAAGCAAAACUUCUAUUAGCAAGUAAUAGAACCCCAAUACAAAAAAGGUGAUAUUUUUCAGAAGAAAACAAAUGAGUAAAAGUGUCUAAUAAAAGAGAAACUUAUCUUAUAGAAGAUAGAAUCAUUGGUUGGAAAAGACCACUAAGAUCAUCUAGUCCAUCCAACCACCAACCCAUCCCCACCAUGCCCACUAAUCAUAUCCCUCAGUGCCACAUCUCCACAGUUCUUGAAACACCUUCAGGGUUGAUGACUCCACCACCACCUCCCUGGGCAGCCUGUGCCAGUGCCUCACCACUCUUUCUAAGAAUUUUCCUCCUAAUAUCUAACCUGGACCUCCCCUAGUGCAACUUAAAGCCAUUCGUUCUCACCCUAUUGAUCUUAUUACCUCUCACAAGGUGCAUGGACAACUGUCUGAUAGUAUGAACACUGUCAGGAGCAAAGCAACACAGUGCAUGUCUUUCCUGAAUUGGAAGAAAGCAAAAAAAAAAAAGUACUUAUUAAUCAGGAAGCUGCCAGAAGGCAGUUUGAUUAUUGUGUCCAACAUUCUAUGUAUCACAGAAUUUCAGAUUUGCCGUGGAUCUCUUAUGAAUUUGGUUUGACUAAAGCAGAACUUCCUAGAGUUACCCAAUUUUGAUUUAUUUAAUUUCCUUUAGUGUUUAAACUUUUCAAGUAUCUUCAGCUAAGCUUACAGUGCCUGAGGGCAACUCCAGAGGAUAUGCAAAGACCUCCACUUGGUUACUAUUGGCUGUAAUGUUAGAAUUGUCUACCCUGGUGAUAUAGGACUAAAACAGAAGCUUGCCUAGUAGUAAUUGGUUAACUCUACCUUCUGCAAGGCACAUUUUAUUUAUUUUCAUUAAGUAUUGAAUUCAACCUAGUUGUUUAACACCUUUUAUUUAAGAGGCUUUGCAGUGAAAUAAAAGAAAUACUACAGAAAAAGCAGGAGAGGAGGAAAAUAACUCUUUACAGUAAUUGCUCACUAUCACUUCAAUUUUAUUAGCGGUGAAAACAAGGAACAACUUUUAAGCAUGUCAGAUACUCCUACCUCUUACUUCUGUUACGGUAAGUAAACUGUAUUUUAAAAAUAUCUUCCUUCUUAAAUUGUGACAAAAUUGUUUCAGCACUAUAAAGUAUGGUCUCAUAUGGUGUCAUAUAAAAGGCAGCAUCACAGACUGCUCUAGUUCUGCAUCAACAGUGCAUCAUCUCCUUCCAGAUAAAGUCUUACAUGUGAGUUUAUCUUUGGAUAUGAAGUUGAAUGGAAUUUAAGUUCAUGGAGAAUCUUUAAUGCUUUGCUGAGUGAGAAUGCAUUUUAGUAGAUCCUUAAGUACUUUUCUCAAGAGGUUUUACCAUGCAUAAGACUUCUUAAAAGGCCCUUCUGAGUUAAAAAUACCUGAAGUUCUCUCUAAUGAGGAUGUAUAGCAUUCUACUCAAGGUAAUCAAGACUUAUGACAUCACAUAUUUUAAAAUUCUUAUUGAGACAGAAAAGUCUUACAGUUGAUCAAAUAAGGGAACGUUCGGAUGAAAGAUAGAAACAGAGGAGGAUUGCAGUACAGUAAAAGUGCAUAAGCAUCUCUUAGUGAACUUCUGCAUUUAUAAUUUUCUUUAUCUGUAACGUAUUUAACUAUAAGCUCUUUAAGGCAGGAAUUCAUCAUUCUGAGUAUAUAUGAGAAGCCUAAUGUGGUUCAGGGUGUGUUUUAAUAUUUAACAGCAGAUCAUUUUCUGCACAUGUUAUAGAGUUUAUUGUCUUGAUAUGUGUUGUUAUUUAUUACAUAUCUCAACGAUACAGUAGACGCAGACCAACAGGCAAUUUGGGCAAUUAAUCAUAGUAUUUUCCAAAGAUCUAAAACAUUCUGUGUUUUUGAAAGGUAUUUCUGAGGCUUUCCAGGUAGUGCACCAUUAACACAUGACGGGGCAUGUUUCAGAGGUUCAUUAACACAUGUCGUAGAUGUGCAGCCUCAUGCAUUCAGCCACCUGAGGCAUGCAUUAAUGGACCAUUAAAACAUGCCCAGGAGUGUCUUAAUGCUAUUACAGUACGGCUCUGCAAUUUUUAAUUCAGCUUUUUUAUAAAACAUUCUUUUCCAAAAUACAAUUUUUACUAUAUUGCAAAGCCUCUACUCAGAAAAGAAAGGGUUAUUGUGACCUAAGAUUAAGAAAGCACCUGGACAUGGAUAUAAAUACCCUUUUUUUCUACCAUUUUAAUACAUUUGAUUUUGAUUUUAUAUUGUUUUAUAAAUAGCAUAGUCCUAAAGCCUGAUUCACGUUUUUGCUGACCUAUCUUCCCACUGCUCAGGAAAUGUAAAAGAGUCUUAAAGUGCCAUAAAUGUAAAUUGCACCCCCAGACUACUUACCUUAGUUGCUAAUUUCAAUAGACAUUUCUAGGUUUCUAGGUGAGUAACUCUUGAACAGCUUUGGAUUUCUGUGGAGAAAAAAACAAAACUGGAAACCCAAGCAGUUUGACAAAUAAGUUUUGCUGUAGAAGGCUAAAACUAGGAAAGGGAAAAGGGGUUAUACCACAGGUGGACAAGCUGCUCACACCUUCAGUAACGUGCUGUUACGGAUCGCAGUUUCACAUUCAGUUACACAUCUCAACCUUGGCUGAAUUCAUUCUAAAAUAAUCAACUAUCCAUUAUUAUUCUUAUUUUAUGAUUUCUGUACUCCAGUAAUACAAAUAAUGUUAUCUUUAUUAUAAUCCAGUGAACUACUGUCCUUGUUUUCAUAAUAAUUCCCUCAUGAGCACAAAGUGCAGGCUGUGGAGCAAAUCACUUCCCCCCAUGUCAGCCUCCACUUCAUUUAAAAGUUGGGAGCAGCAUAAAGAGCUUGGAAGUGCUUGAACCAGCUGAAGAAAAUUUCUUUAAUGAUAGUGCCCUGAAAGAAGGCCAUAGGCCACACUUCAAAAAAUUCACCAUCUGACCCAAAACAAAAUAUUAUUUCAGGUCAAUUUUAACAUUGCUUUUAGAUUUUGCUUUUAUGUAUGUGUUUAUUACUGCUGGCCAUCUCAUUUAAUGUGUGACAGCCAGCAGUCAUGUUGAAAUGAUGCAUUGCAACACAUUGCUCAAAAAAGAUUGUAAUUAUGUAUCAGAGCUUUUUUUUUUUUUCCAUGUUUCUUUCAAAAAAAGCUAUUUAAGAAAAUUCUUUUCCUCUUUCUAAAUUAGCUUUUUGACAGAAAAAGUUGCUGUGAAACUCCACAUUUGGACUAGUGUAGCUUAGAGCCGUGUAUUCAUCAUCAUUAUCAUAAUAAUAGCAUUACACCAUUAUUUUACAUACUCUUCCUCCUCUAACAUAUAUAAGUACAGUGCACUGUAAUUUGUAAAUACUGUGCUUUCAAUCAGCAGUGCUUGAGCAGGAGCUUCAGAAUAAGGUUGGGUCUAACCAGAGCAUCAUCACAGUCUAUAAUAUGCUCAUCGACCAUGGAUCCUCCAUGUUCACCAGGGCACAGGCAGAAUGUGGAAUGAUAUGUGGCUGAAUCAUUGGUGGGAAAUUGCAAGGAUCUGGGAAGCUCUUCUGAGAGCUGUGUUGUUUGUCAAUCUUGGAGCUGGAAGAUCUGAGCAAGAGCCUUAGUUCGAUGAUCCUCAACUUUAUCGCAAGUGGUGAGAUCUGAGGGCUUCUCUUCUGUGUUGUCCUUCCCCAUGCCAAUUUCAAGUGUGAGGAGUUCUUAAACAAGCUUUUUUGAAAGAAAGAAGAAGGGUGGUACUUGUUUUCAUUCAUAAGCAGAGCAAGGAGAUGUAACUGGAUGUAGUGCAAAACUUCUGUCAGCAAAUAAAAGGAAAAGGCCAUUGGAGUCAGUGCAUAUGUGCUGCUCAGUGAAUAUGGCAGCAUUGGUAGCUGUCACCUUCAGGUUGAGUUUGUAGUAAUUACAUUUUCCAGUCAUAUGGAAAUCCCUCAAAAUUACACAUGUGCAGAAACUUCUCAUGUUGUAUAUUUUCACAGGGAAUUCUAUAUACAGAUGAUCUGCAAAGAACUUGUAUUAAUUUAAAACUAUUUGAAGACAGUGUUUGCUCGGAGCAGGAAUUAGAGUCAGUACUAGUUAAGCACGUACAACUAGGAACUGUGGGAUAUAGAGUUUAAGCCUGUAGCUGCCAGAAUUAAAUCUAAUUCAUCGUUAAACACUUCAUCUUCCUCUACAGCAUAGGUAAAAGGUCAUACACUCCAAAAAUAUGAUCCAGAAAGGGAUAAUGUGGAGAGGGAAAUCCAGAUCUAAUAGGCUUUGUAAUUCCCUCUUCUGGGGAGAACUAUGUCACUGAUACAAUUUGGACUCUCUUCUGGCAAGUAGUAAUAGUAGCUGAUGUUAAACUUUCAGCAAUCACUGGCUUUGCUGAUGUGUCAGGCCAAAAAAAAACACAUACGUUGUUUUGAGAAAUUUGUUUUGGCGAUGCAGACCAACAAACAAAAUGAUGAUAUUUUCUUCUAGAAAGAAAAUGAAUUGGUGUUUAAACAUAAAUUCUGGCUGGUAACAGAGAAACAGCAGAAGAGGUUGUAAUGCAAACAAUUAAAGAUCUUUCUAAUCUAUAAUUCAUGUCUCAGCAUCUGCUGGAUCUGACCAUAAGGAACAUCUAAAAGAUUUUCUUCCUGCCCCAUUGGUUCUCCCAUUCUUUCACAAUUCAGUUUAUGUAUUGUUGUGAUGGAUUCUGUGCUCAGUAUUGACUGAGAACCUGACCUGGCUCCUGCUGAAGACGGUGGCAGGACUCCCAUUGACUUUGACGGCAGAUGGAUCUGAAGUGGAAUGUGAAUGAGCAGAUAUGUUCUAUAUUAAAGAAGAGCAUCGGAUGAUUUUGGGAAGAAAAUAAAGAAAAAAAAAGUAAUGCUUGAAAGUUUUCAGAGCAGAUGAGAAAUAAACAGACCAAGCACCUCAGCCUGGAAUGUCAUCUUCAUCUGUGAAUCAGAAUUUGGACCUGCUGCUGAUGAGUUGGAAAAGCAAUUGUGGCAUGAACAAUGAGACUUUGGGUUGACAGCCUAGGGGAGCUAUUCGACAGCUUCACAGACAGGCUUCCCAAUGUAAAUGAAGAUGAGAAAGUGCAUGAAAAAUCGAUCAUGCACUAGAGACAACACUUACUUCAUUAACUACCUUCAGCACUAACCUCUUGAACACUGUUAGUAAACCUAUUAUGUCACAGCUGAGAUGCAGCUGAAGAUUUUGCUUUGAGAAUUUAAACAAAGCUAUAUAAGAAUGCAAACCAGAUUAAAAAGUAGUACCAUAUAAGUCAACUGCUAGUUGCUGACAUCAGUAAAAUAUUGUCUGUUACUAUCAGGAAACAUGGGAACAAUGAUUAAAAUUUCCUAAUAAUGCAGUAAAAUUUUUAGCUGUUAUCUGGAAAAAGAAAAAAAAAAAAAAAAGAGAGAGAGUAUUCUGCAGUGUGUGGAAUGCAAAUAUUUCUAAUAAGUGCUGUCAUGUGACAGGGAUACUAACAAGAACUUCUUAGAGCUGAGGAUCUGUUUUUGGACUUUGCUCAGGUAAGUAAUGUAUAUAGAUAUACAGUCAUACAAGGGCUUCUCCAAAAGUAAUGCCUCCUAUUUUAAUAUGUUGACCCACUAUGUCAGAGGCAGACAUUGGUGGUAUAACAGUAGAGGUUGAACCUUCCCAUCAGUAUCCCAUUACAUGCUGUUGCUGUGUGACAUAUAGCAGCAGAAGGGCAGUCUGACGGAAUGGCAUCUGACAUGCAAGUGCAUAUGAAGCGAAUGAGUGUCAUGAGUUUCCUCCAUGUGGAAAUCACUGCACCCACUGACAUUCAUUGACACAUGCUGUGAUUGUCCAUGGAGACCGAACAGUAAAUGUGAACACAGUGAGGUGGUGAGUGGUGCAUUUCAGCAGUAGCAACGGCAACAGUGGGUCAUCUCUACUGAUGUAGAUUGUUAUGAGCGUAGCAUGCAGGCUCUUGUUCAUUGUUGGUGAAAAUGCAUAGCUAAUGGCAGUCACUGUAUUAAAAAAAAACAGAGCUUUGUAGUUGAGACUUUGUCUAUCAAUAGUUUUGUUGUGCUUUUUGUAUCUGCUGUUGUUUCCAUAGAAAUAAAUAGAAGGCAUUACUUUCAGAGUGACCUAUUUAAAUUUAAUACGGGAACACUGAGUCUUUAUGGCAUUCAAAUGGAGCUAAGUGAUCUAAAUUCUUUUCAUGAGGACCUGAAGCUUUAUUGCUCAUAAA